CCCUUAGAUGUUCUGGGCCGCACGCGCGCUACACUGAAGGAAUCAGCGCGUCUUUCUCCUUGUCCGAAAGGACUGGGUAACCCGCUGAACCUCCUUCGUGCUAGGGAUUGGGGCUUGUAAUUCUUCCCCAUGAACGAGGAAUUCCCAGUAAGCGCGAGUCAUAAGCUCGCGUUGAUUACGUCCCUGCCCUUUGUACACACCGCCCGUCGCUACUACCGAUUGGAUGGUUUAGUGAGAUCCUCGGAUUGGUCCCGGCGCGGCCUCUGGUCGUGCCGGAGUGCCGAAAAGAAUGUCGAACUUGAUCAUCUAGAGGAAGUAAAAGUCGUAACA
rnacentral:rRNA from 1 species